rnacentral:hammerhead_ribozyme from 1 species
AUUCAGAUGACGAGUCCCAAAUAGGACGAAACGCGAGUCCUGGAU